rnacentral:rRNA from 1 species
UACGUAGGUGGCAAGCGUUGUCCGGAUUUACUGGGCGUAAAGAGCGCGCAGGCGGUCGUUCAAGUCGCGUGUGAAAGCCCCCCGGCUCAACUGGGGAGGGUCACGCGAUACUGAUCGACUGGAAGGCAGGAGAGGGUAGUGGAAUUCCCGGUGUAGUGGUGAAAUGCGUAGAUAUCGGGAGGAACACCAGUGGCGAAGGCGACUACCUGCCUGUUCUUGACGCUGAGGCGCGAAAGCUAGGGGAGCAAACGGGGAUUAAGAUAUC